rnacentral:rRNA from 1 species
UACAGAGGGUGCAAGCGUUGUUCGGAAUUAUUGGGCGUAAAGGGUGUGUAGGCUGUGCGUUAAGUCAGAUGUGAAAGCCCAGGGCUCAACCUUGGAACUGCAUCCGAUACUGGCGUGCUAGAGAAUUGGAGAGGAGUCUAGAAUUCACGGUGUAGCAGUGAAAUGCGUAGAUAUCGUGAGGAAUACCAAGUGCGAAGGCAGGACUCUGGACAUUUUCUGACGCUGAGACACGAAGGCUAGGGGAGCAAACGGG